AUGCCUUGACUGCAAAUGCUGCUUGCACCAAUCGUUGACUACAAUCGAUACUGGCCCCGCUUGGGGAUAUAUGGCGAUAAACUUCGUACCGGAGCGCGGCCGCAUCUUGUUGUGUGAUUACGAUAUGGCUCGUGUUCCGCCUGAAAUGGAAAAGACGCGGCGGGUUGUUGUAGUUUCCCCGCGCUCUUACAACGGCCGUCACGGCCGCCAGCCCGGCAGAUGUGUUGUCGUACCCUUUUCAGCUACCGAUCCCGGAGAAUGGCUGACA
rnacentral:misc_RNA from 1 species